AUUGAACGCUGGCGGCAGGCCUAACACAUGCAAGUCGAGCGGUGGAAGGGAGCAUGCUUAUGGAUUCAACGGCGGACGAGUGAGUAAUUCCUAGGAAUCGGCCUGGUAGUGGGGGAUAACGUCCGGAAACGGGCGCUAAUACCGCAUACGUUCAAAGGGAGAAAGAGGAGGAUCUUGGGACCACACGCUAUUAGAUUAGCCUAGGUCGGAUUAGCUAGUGGGUGGGGUAGAGGCCUACCAAGGCGACGACCCGUAACUGGUCUGAGAGGUUGAUCAGUCACACUGGACUUGAGACCCGCUCCAACUUCCUCCGGGAGCCAGAAGUGGGGAAUUUUGGACAUUGGGCGAAGUCUUGCCGCAGCCAUGCCGCGUGGGUGAAGAAGUUCUUCGGAUUGUAAACCACUUUAGGUUGGGAGGACGGGCAGUAGGUUAAUACCUUCCUGUUUUGACGUUACCAGCAGAAUAAGCACCGGCUAACUUCGUG
rnacentral:rRNA from 1 species